rnacentral:rRNA from 1 species
UACGAAGGGGGCUAGCGUUGCUCGGAAUUACUGGGCGUAAAGGGCGCGUAGGCGGAUGACUAAGUCGGGGGUGAAAGCCCGGGGCUCAACCUCGGAAUUGCCUUCGAUACUGGUCAUCUUGAGUACGGGAGAGGUGUGUGGAACUCCGAGUGUAGAGGUGAAAUUCGUAGAUAUUCGGAAGAACACCAGUGGCGAAGGCGACACACUGGCCCGUUACUGACGCUGAGGCGCGAAAGCGUGGGGAGCAAACAGG